rnacentral:rRNA from 1 species
GUGUCAGCAGCCGCGGUAAUACGGGGGGAGCAAGCGUUGUUCGGAUUUACUGGGCGUAAAGGGCGCGUAGGCGGUCAGCACAAGUCAGUUGUGAAAUCUCCGGGCUUAACUCGGAAAGGUCAACUGAUACUGUGCGACUAGAGUGCAGAAGGGGCAACUGGAAUUCUCGGUGUAGCGGUGAAAUGCGUAGAUAUCGAGAGGAACACCUGCGGCGAAGGCGGGUUGCUGGGCUGACACUGACGCUGAUGCGCGAAAGCCAGGGGAGCGAACGGGAUUAGAUACCCCGGUAGUCC